rnacentral:rRNA from 1 species
CCUACGGGUGGCUGCAGUGAGGAAUAUUGGUCAAUGACCGCGAGCCUGAACCAGCCAAGUAGCGUGAAGGAUGACUGCCCUACGGAUUGUAAACUUCUUUUGUCAAGGAAUAAAAUGAGGCACGUGUGCCUUUUUGUGUGUACUUUAUGAAUAAGGAUCGGCUAACUCCGUGCCAGCAGCCGCGGUAAUACGGAGGAUCCGAGCGUUAUCCGGAUUUAUUGGGUUUAAAGGGAGCGUAGGUGGGUUGUUAAGUCAGUUGUGAAAGUUUGCGGCUCAACCGUAAAAUUGCAAUUGAUACUGGCAGUCUUGAGAAGAGUUGAGGUAGGCGGAAUGCGCGGUGUAGCGGUGAAAUGCUUAGAUAUCACGCAGAACUCCGAUUGCGAAGGCAGCUUACCAAACUGGAACUGACACUGAUGCGCGAAAGUGUGGGUAUCAAACAGGAUUAGAUACCCGGGUAGUC